rnacentral:rRNA from 1 species
AUGGAUCCAAGCUAUCACAGGAGGUCACAGAUGGAGGAUGAAUUCAUGUUAUUUGUCUUCCCUACCAUGGAAGAAGGAAGAGAGAAAAAACCAAUGCAUACAUCUAGUCUUACAGGAGCUGCUUAUGUCCAGGAAAUCUUAAAUGGGCAUGAAAGCUUAUGCAAAAGGCAUUUCAGAAUGGAGGCUUACAUCUUUCAUGCUCUGGUUGAGAAGCUGCGUGAGAAUGAAAUACUUGAAGAUUCAACAAUAGUCUCCUUGGAAGAAAAGGUUGCGAUAUUUUUAUAUGCAGUUGCAAAAAAUGCCAGUAAUGAAACCUUGCAGGAUAUGUUCCAGCACAGUGGGCAAACCAUCAGUCGACACUUUGGAGAUGUACUAGAGGCAAUUACAAAGCUUGCAAGCAUCUAUAUACGCCCACCUUCUCUUCGACCACAUCCAGUCUUGAGGAGAUCACAUUUCCAUCCCUACUUCAAUGAUUGCAUUGGUGCUAUUGAUGGUACACAUAUUCCAAUGACUAUCUCACCACAUGAACAAGAGCCAUAUCGAAACAGAAAGCAAACAAUCACACAAAAUGUUAUGGUUGCAUGUGACUUUGAUUUGAGGUUUGUGCAUGUGCAUCCUGGCUGGGAAGGAUCAGCCUCGGAUGCAAGGGUUCUCCAAGAUGCACUUAACCAUGGAUUUCAGGUACCUCAUGGUAAAUAUUAUCUUGUAGAUGCAGGAUAUGCAAACACACCAAAGUUUCUUGCCCCAUACCGUGGAACUAGAUACCAUUUGCAAGAACAAGCACAAGUACGUCAAAGGCCGAGGAAUCGUAGAGAACUAUUCAACCUUCGAACACACAAUUACGGAAUCAUAUAG